rnacentral:tRNA from 1 species
UAGUUCAGCUGGUUAGAAUACCUGCCUGUCACGCAGGGGGUCGCGGGUUCGAGUCC